rnacentral:rRNA from 1 species
GGAAUUACUGGGCGUAAAGCGUGCGCAGGCGGUCUUUUAAGUCAGAUGUGAAAUCCCCGGGCUUAACCUGGGAACUGCGUUUGAAACUGGAAGGCUAGAGUGUGGCAGAGGGGGGUGGAAUUCCACGUGUAGCAGUGAAAUGCGUAGAGAUGUGGAGGAACACCGAUGGCGAAGGCAGCCCCCUGGGCUAACACUGACGCUCAGGCACGAAAGCGUGGGGAGCAAACAGG